GAUGAACGCUGGCGGCGUGCUUAACACAUGCAAGUCGAACGAUGAAGCCCAGUUUGCUUGGUGAAUUAAUGGCCAACGGACGAGUAACUCACGAGUGACGUGCCCUUGUCUCUGGGGUAGGCCUCGUAAACUGGGGCUAGUACUUGCCAUGUCUUCUCAUUACACGCAGGGUGGUGGAAUGAUUUAUUGGUUUUGAUUGGACUCGCGGCCUAUCAGCUUGUUGGUGAGGUAAUGUCACACAAAGGCGAAGACGGGUAGCCGGACUGAGAGGGUGACCGGCCACAAUGGGACUGAGGAGGGGCCCAUAGUGCUACGUGAGGCAGCAGUGGGGAACAGAGCACAAUGGGCGGAAGCAUGAUGCAGGGACGCCGCGUGGUGGAUGACGGCCGUCAGGGUGUAAACCUCGUGCAGGAGGGAAGAAGCGAGAGUGACGGUACCUGCAGAAGAAGCGACGGCUAACUACGUG
rnacentral:rRNA from 1 species